UGGUGAAGCCGCGAAUAGCUCAUUACAACAGCCAUAGUUUAUUGGAUCUUCUCUCUACUUGGAUAACUGUGGUAAUUCUAGAGCUAAUACACGCACACAAGCUCCGACCUCGCGGGAGGAGCGCAUUUAUUAGAACAAAACCAAUCGGGCUCGCCCGUAGUUUGGUGAAUCUGAAUAACUCAGUUGAUCGCACAGUCCUCGCACUGGCGACGUAUCUUUCAAGUGUCUGCCUUAUCAACUGUCGAUGGUAGUUUACAUGACUACCAUGGUUGUAACGGGUAACGGAGAAUAAGGGUUCGACUCCGGAGAGGGAGCCUGAGAAACGGCUACCACAUCCAAGGAAGGCAGCAGGCGCGCAAAUUACCCACUCUCAGAACGAGGAGGUAGUGACGAAAAAUAACGAGACGGUUCUCUUUGAGGUCCGUCAUCGGAAUGGGUACAAUUUAAACCCUUUAACGAGGAUCUAUUGGAGGGCAAGUCUGGUGCCAGCAGCCGCGGUAAUUCCAGCUCCAAUAGCGUAUAUUAAAGUUGUUGC
rnacentral:rRNA from 1 species